rnacentral:tRNA from 1 species
GCGUGGAUAGUUUAAAGGCAGAAUAGUUGGUUUCCAACCAAUUGAUCGGGGUUCGAUUCCCCGUCCGCGCA